rnacentral:rRNA from 1 species
UACGUAGGUGGCGAGCGUUGUCCGGAUUUAUUGGGCGUAAAGCGCCCGCAGGCGGUUCGCUCCGUCCGGUGUGAAAUCUCCCGGCUCACCUGGGAGGGGGCGCUGGAGACUGGCGAACUGGAGGCAGGGAGAGGUCGGUGGAAUUCCCGGUGUAGUGGUGAAAUGCGUAGAGAUCGGGAGGAACACCAGUGGCGAAGGCGACUACCUGGCCUGUUCUUGACGCUGAGGCGCGAAAGCUAGGGGAGCAAACGGG